rnacentral:misc_RNA from 1 species
AAGUCGUAACAAGGUUUCCGUAGGUGAACCUGCGGAAGGAUCAUUAACGAACAAAUUUUGUUGCUUUUUUUCCUUUUAGGGGGAAUUGAGCAAUUUAAAAUUUUAAACCCCAAUGUGAACAAAAAAAGUUCAAGAGAAUACCAAUUCCAAUUUUUAUGGAAUAGGAAAAUUUUCAAGAAUUAUUAUAAACAAUUAUUCGACUGAAUGUUUUAUUAAAAAAAAUACAACUUUUAACAAUGGAUCUCUAGGCUCUC